rnacentral:rRNA from 1 species
UACGUAGGGGGCAAGCGUUGUUCGGAAUUACUGGGCGUAAAGGGCGCGUAGGCGGCACGGCAAGUCGGGAGUGAAAGGCCUGGGCUCAACCGAGGAACUGCUUUCGAGACUGCCGAGCUAGAGUGCGGAAGGGGCAACUGGAAUUCCCAGUGUAGCGGUGAAAUGCGUAGAUAUCGAGAGGAACACCUGCGGCGAAGGCGGGUUGCUGGGCUGACACUGACGCUGAUGCGCGAAAGCUAGGGGAGCGAACGGG